ensembl:lncRNA
GUAGUGGAAGGUGGCUGGCUGGGGCACUGGUAUGGCAGCGGGGAAGGGAAUGGAGUUGUGUGUAUAUGCUUAGGAAUCAGUAUAGCUUCCUGCAGCAUCUUUGGCAACGUGUCUGGGCCAAAUAUGGUCCUGGCUUAAUCUGUGCUACUUAGCUGGUAGCCCUCUUGGAAGGUUAUAUGGCUCUGUAAUCAUACUAGAGAUAAACAGGGUUCCCUGGGUUGUAGUAUGAGCCUGUAACUGAUGGUGACUUAGUGAUUAUGUGUAACCGUGGGCAAGUUGCUGGAUUUCCUGUGCCUGUACAAGUGGAGAGUAAGACUGCUUCCUCUCUCACAGGGAGGUGGUAACAGUGAACUAGCUAAUAUUUGAAGGUAAUUAGUAGGAAGGAAAAGGAAUUGAUGUGUCCCAGCUAGGUAUCUAGAACUUUGCUUCACUUUGUUUCCGAAUUGCUUUCUAGGAUACUUCUCUGUUGGCAGUUAGCAAAGCCUAGCAGAGAAACUUAAAUCCUUCAAAGGUGAAUAACAUCAGCUCCUGUUCCAAGGCUUUCCUUUCCUUGGAGUUUUAAGUCCAAGUGUAUUUUUCCUGUUGCACAAUAACUAGUAGAUGCUAGGGCACAGCCUAGUGCAUUAAUACAGAGAUUUCUGACCUGAGGAAGGAGGGCAGAUAUCUAACAUGAAAUUACUUUCAAGCACUUUCUUCAUCCCAAGUUGCAUGCAAGAGAUGCACUCAAACAACUGCCCAGGCAAAAUUCUUAGGCAUUCCCAGUCCUGCCCAGACCCAACUCCUGCAAAAGCUCCGACCUUUCUAGUAAAUCAAGCCGAAGUCUGUAUUCAAAUCCCCAUGCUCCAGGACAUUGAAAUCCAGGUCCAGGUUUUUUUUAUUUUUUGCAUCUACAUCUGUGGCUCAAUGGCAUGUUUCACUGGCUAUUCCUUCAGUGUGAGCCCUGUUAAGCUCUGCUAAAUCACUGAGACGGGUCCUUGGCCUCUAACCCACUGGCACAUGGCCUUCUGAUGCAUCUAGCUAAUGGGAAGAGGCCAGAUUGGCAGUAGGAUGCGUGCUGCUAGUGGCAGUACAGAGCUGUGCCAUGUAGUGCUGCCCUGUGCUGCUCUCCUCUCUUCUGGUCUGUGCCCCCCCAUCUUCUCAAAAUGUCCGUGCUUUGUAGGUUACUUAGCAUGGGGAGAAUCUCUGUUAAACAUCUGCACGACUGGCAUAACUGGAGCCAAAACUUUGCUUGUCUCUGUCUGCCAUUGUGUUACAAAGGACAGCAGCAUUGGAGCCAUGGCAGUCCUCUGCUUGUCCACAGCGCUCCUGCAAGGUUCAUGUGCACAGAGAACCCACCCAUGGUGGGUGGUGCUGGCAGGGUUUUGCAGGGUGGCAGCCUCCGGGAGAGGCACAAGGUGAACAAUCCAGAGAUGCUCAGAGGGCCUAUUCCUCUCCCCACUCCCAUCCACCACAAGACAUGCAACACCCUCUACAUUUAAGUUUAUAAGGCCAGUACUUUCCAACUGUAGUGUGCCACAGGAAAAGAGCACCAGAAAUAAAGGGCAGCACUGAUGACUUGGGUUGCUGGAGUAGCAGGGAUUUUGCUGCCCUGCAAAGGAAGACCAAAGUCAAACCCCUUCAUUCCUACCAGUCUACUUAGCCCUGAGCACAGGAGCAGGAUGCACAUGCAAAGACCCAAAAGAGAUUUUUCAGCAUCCCAUAGAGGACCCACACAGCCUGCCAAGUAACUCCUUUCUAGCUGUGCCAAGGAUUAAAUCCUGUGCCAUGCAGGACAGGUUCCAUGAUGGGGCUGUGGCCUCCAAGUAACAGACUAAGAGAUGAUCAUCAGCUUUUGAAGAAUCAUUAAGCAGCAGUGACUAGUGAGCUAGAGUCAAACUCAUGACCUAGAAACGAAAGGCUGCCCCUCCCAUUCAGUCCUUGCAUUCCCUCAUUUUCCUUCCUUCCUUUACAAAAAA